rnacentral:tRNA from 1 species
GAGGGUAUACCUCAGUGGUAGAGUGCAUGCUUAGCAUGCAUGAGGUCCUGGGUUCGAUCCCCAAUGCCUGCA